rnacentral:misc_RNA from 1 species
GAAAUGCGAUAACUAGUGUGAAUUGCAGAAUUCCGUGAAUCAUCGAGUCUUUGAACGCACAUUGCGCCCCCUGGUAUUCCGGGGGGCAUGCCUGUCCGAGCGUCAUUGCUGCCCAUCAAGCACGGCUUGUGUGUUGGGUCGUCGUCCCCUCUCCGGGGGGGACGGGCCCCAAAGGCAGCGGCGGCACCGCGUCCGAUCCUCGAGCGUAUGUGGCUUUGUCACCCGCUCUGUAGGCCCGGCCGGCGCUUGCCGAACGCAAAUCAAUCUUUUUCCAGGUUGACCUCGGAUCAGGUAGGGAUACCCGCUGAACUUAAGC